GUUGAAAUACCAGUUCUCGUACGAUCACCGAAGGUAAGCAACGUCGAGCCUGGUCAGUACCGACAUGGGUGACUGCUGGGAAAUAAAUACCAGGUGUUGUAAG